rnacentral:rRNA from 1 species
UACGUAGGGCGCAAGCGUUAUCCGGAAUUAUUGGGCGUAAAGAGCUCGUAGGCGGUUUGUCGCGUCUGCCGUGAAAGUCCGGGGCUCAACUCCGGAUCUGCGGUGGGUACGGGCAGACUAGAGUGAUGUAGGGGAGACUGGAAUUCCUGGUGUAGCGGUGAAAUGCGCAGAUAUCAGGAGGAACACCGAUGGCGAAGGCAGGUCUCUGGGCAUUACUGACGCUGAGGAGCGAAAGCAGUGGGGAGCGAACAGG